CUGCACCAUGGAUAGCAAUUGCGCAUGGCUAGCACAAGCAUCAGGCAUAGGAUGAGCAUCAGUAUGCUGCCCACUAGUUCCAAAAUGACCAAGACCUUGACCAUGACCAUAGUUACAUGUAGUAGGAGGCAUAGCUACAACCACCAUAACAACAAACAUAUGCAAGCAUAUCAAAUUCCAAGAUAUUCAAGAAUAAGCACACUAGACAAGUAAAAGAACAUUGUACAAGUAAGGAUAUGCAAACCCAUACCCAACCUACACGUGCAAGUGUGUCAAUUUUUAAUAAGUUAGAUUUUAACAUACAAAAAUUAAGCCAAGAAUCUAUAACCAAAAGCUAUGAUUACCAACUGUAACACCCCAAGUGCCACAAAGGCCCAAGAUAUCACUAAAGAUCCUUCCAACAUGCUGGAGUAGAAAAACUCGACAGCAUAACACCAUAAAUAGAGUAAAACAUGAAAACAACAACAUAAAAUAUAUUUAAAGAUAAACCAAACACUAACAAAAUAACACAUAUCAAAGAUCAACCACACUCAUUAUUAAGAAUCCACAAAUGGACACCACAAGGUAUACUCUAUGUUCAUUACAGAAAGACAAAUGUAUCAUUAUUAUAUAAAAAGAGCAUGCCAAAGAUGUGAAGACGUGCAACUAAUCCCAUCCUCUCAAGCAAAGCAUCGACUCAAACACCUGAAAAAUAAAACGGCUGUGAGAAUAAAUCUCAGCAAGCAAACUGCUAUAACAAGUUAUUUAAACUACGAGUUCAUUAUUCAUCAAUUUGAACAUAGAUACAUGAUAAAAAUAAGAUAAACGGGAUCAUUGUGAAAGCCACCUCAUAUGAACAAAAAUGAAUAAACCACAACCACACAUUAACUUCAGAUGAUCAAGACCUCGUAUCCAC
rnacentral:lncRNA from 1 species